rnacentral:rRNA from 1 species
UACGUAGGGGGCAAGCGUUGUCCGGAUUUAUUGGGCGUAAAGAGCGUGUAGGCGGUUUGGUAGGUCCGUUGUGAAAACUCGAGGCUCAACCUCGAGACGCCGGCGGAAACCAUCAGGCUAGAGUCCGGAAGAGGAGAGUGGAAUUCCUGGUGUAGCGGUGAAAUGCGCAGAUAUCAGGAAGAACACCAAUGGCGAAGGCAGCUCUCUGGGACGGUACUGACGCUGAGACGCGAAAGCGUGGGGAGCAAACAGG